UGUGUGUGUGUGUGUGUGUGUGUGUGUGAACAAGCGUGCACACGUGUGUGCAUACAGGGGAAGGGGUGACUAGGAGAUGGAUUUAAUCAGAUGACCUUUACAAAUUCCAUAUUUUCUGGACUUCCGUAUUUAAAUGUUUAAGAUGGGCCUUCAGGCACCACACUAGUUAUCAGAGAUGUAUUUGCUCAAGAAAUUUGCCUGGUGCACUCUUUCCCUUUUAGUUUCCAACCUUCCGAACAGUAACAAGAACAGCAUACUGAGGAGCUCUCUCCCGUAGUUGCCGGGCAGCUUCUCAGAACAAGGCCUCUCCUGACAUAACCACGACGAUGAUCAAGCUCAGGAAAUCGGACGCAGAUAUAAUGCUAUUUUCUAGUCCACGCUCUGCAUUCAAGCUUCGCUAGAUGGACAAAGACUGUCCCUUCUCGCGGUUUCCCCCAAACGCUGGUCCCGCCCACUUCGCUCCGCCCACUUCCUCCUUUCAUCUGCCACAGUGCCUGAGCCUGACAUUUUUGAAGACCACAGACAGACUGGCAUACUGGGUGCUUUUCAAAUGCUGCUCAAAUCACCAGCGGAGAGUCCCAAGUCUGUGCUUUGCCAUUGAUCCCUGGGACGAUUGGGAACACUGGCCCUUCACAACUUUGCUCUGCAACCUCACGGUCAGUAUUAUGAGUAUCACUGCCUGCUGCCUCAUAUUCCUCAGCCAAUGUUUCUUGAGUCAGGAUUAGGUCAAAAAGGACUGUCAUUGAAGAGGCACCAUCUGUGGCUGUGCCUAUACUCAAAGUCCAUAGCUUUUUGUAGGUGAUACAGUUCUUUUUGCUGUUGUUCUGAGUUCUGGACUUUGGGUUUUGUGGAUGCUUAGAUUGGGAUGAUGCUUCCUUUCACAUUUCUUAUAGACCCGGUGACUCACAUAAAGAGGUCCUCUAAAGCACGUCCCAAGCAAAACAGGGCCACCACUCUGAAUAAACUGGAAAAAUCCACCACCUC
ensembl:lincRNA